GAUACUUCUGGAGUCUAGCUGAAACAACGCAGCUUGCCAUUUGAGAGCACUAUCAGGACAAAGUGAUACAAAGGAACCUGAAGAAUAAGAUUCCAAGAAGGAUGGGCAAAAUCACCAGAAACUCAUGCAAGUUACCAGCUGUUCAUUUGUCAACAUGAAGCUAAUUGAGGUCUUGGACAAGGGUCUGAGAAAGGUGAAUGUUGAAGAUCCCACGGA